rnacentral:rRNA from 1 species
GAGUUUGAUCUUGGCUCAGGACGAACGCUGGCGGCGCGCUUAACACAUGCAAGUCGAACGGAGCUACAAUGGAAAGAGCCUUCGGGCAAUGGAAGCUGUAGCUUAGUGGCGGACGGGUGAGUAACACGUGAGCAACCUGCCUUUCAGAGGGGGAUAACGUUUUGAAAAGAACGCUAAUACCGCAUAACGUAUUUUUUCGCAUGGAAGAGAUACCAAAGGAGCAAUCCGCUGAAAGAUGGGCUCGCGUCCGAUUAGCUAGUUGGUAGGGUAAAGGCCUACCAAGGCGACGAUCGGUAGCCGGACUGAGAGGUUGAACGGCCACAUUGGGACUGAGACACGGCCCAGACUCCUACGGGAGGCAGCAGUGGGAAUAUUGCACAAUGGAGGAAACUCUGAUGCAGCGACGCCGCGU